rnacentral:rRNA from 1 species
GACGAACGCUGGCGGCGUGCCUAAUACAUGCAAGUCGAGCGGACAGACGGGAGCUUGCUCCCUGAUGUUAGCGGCGGACGGGUGAGUAACACGUGGGUAACCUGCCUGUAAGACUGGGAUAACUCCGGGAAACCGGGGCUAAUACCGGAUGGUUGUCUGAACCGCAUGGUUCAGACAUAAAAGGUGGCUUCGGCUACCACUUACAGAUGGACCCGCGGCGCAUUAGCUAGUUGGUGAGGUAACGGCUCACCAAGGCAACGAUGCGUAGCCGACCUGAGAGGGUGAUCGGCCACACUGGGACUGAGACACGGCCCAGACUCCUACGGGAGGCAGCAGUAGGGAAUCUUCCGCAAUGGACGAAAGUCUGACGGAGCAACGCCGCGUGAGUGAUGAAGGGUUUCGGAUCGUAAAGCUCUGUUGUUAGGGAAGAACAAGUGCCGUUCAAAUAGGGCGGCACCUUGACGGUACCUAACCAGAAAGCCACGGCUAACUACGUG